rnacentral:lncRNA from 1 species
UCCCUUCUCUCUAAAACUCUCCUUUCUUCUCUCUUCGCCGGCGCCGGCGUCCCCCUUCUCCUCUCGGAUUUCUCUCUCCUAGCCGGCGAAUCGCUUCGCCUUCCGUUGCCGGCGUCAAGCUCUCUCCCUUCUUCUCUCCCCCGGCCGUUCCUUCCUUUUCUCUCUCUACCCCUUUCUCUUCUCAGAUCUCAACCCUUUUUCCCUUUUUCUUUGUUGUUGCUUUUUGUUCUUUGAUUGUUUGUGGCUAACCUCGUUUUUUGCUUUUUGCAGGGUUUUAAAGAGCCGGGUUGUCCAAUUUUUUGGACAACCCGGUGAGGGGGGGGUUCUGGCACCCCUGG